GACGACAGUCAUAUGGUUGUGUGUGUGUUUGGGACACUAAAGCCAAUCAAAAGACGCGUGUGAGGCCUUAAACCAAACAAUACAGAUAGGAUAUAAGCAAACAGGAUUUAUCUUGAACUCUCUGUCUGUUUUCUGUCACACAGCGACUCACCAGCUUGAUCCUGUUCUCCGUACCAGGUGUUCCAGCUUCCCACCACCUCACAUGGGUAGUCCUGGUCCUGAUGGAGCCUGUUUUGCACCUCAGCCCUAGAGUCAGCGUGAAAUAGCAGAGACUUGAGGAUCCCAUAGCACCCAGCGUUCUGGAUGGGGUUCCUGCUCAUCUGGCCGAAGAUACAGAUGAGAAAUAUGAGAAUAUGGAAUAGUGCCACACACAAAGAAGUCGGUCGAGACGAGCCCCUGAGAAGCUCGGCUGCCGACAUUAAAACAAAGUACAGCGAUCCACUUAUUCAUCCCAUUUCAUCCACCGAUGCCACCCUUUGCUUCCCGAAGCCCAAACCAAUCUCUUUUCAACAGCUCACAUUCAGGGACUUGAUUGUCUUGUUUACUUUGAGGCCGGCGGCGAGGCGGACGGCUCCUUCAGGGGGUAUUCUGUUGUUACUGUGGAGACAAACAAAUACAGGACAGAAAACAGAAGGAAGGAAAGGUGUGUUGGAGUCAAUCAUCAGGGAAGCAAUCAUCAUGUGCUGUGUUUUC